rnacentral:rRNA from 1 species
UACGUAGGCAGCGAGCGUUGUUCGGAGUUACUGGGCGUAAAGGGUGUGUAGGCGGUUGUUUAAGUUUGGUGUGAAAUCUCCCGGCUCAACUGGGAGGGUGCGCCGAAUACUGAAUGACUUCGAGUGCGGGAGAGGAGAGUGGAAUUCCUGGUGUAGCGGUGAAAUGCGUAGAUAUCAGGAGGAACACCGGUGGUGUAGACGGCUCUCUGGACCGUAACUGACGCUGAGACACGAAAGCCGUGGGUAGCAAACAGG